AAAAAGAUAGUUUAAGUAAGAAUAUUGUUUUGUGGCGACAAAGGUGAUUUUUUGUCUCUUUUUC
rnacentral:tRNA from 1 species